rnacentral:rRNA from 1 species
GAUCAUGGCUCAGGAUGAACGCUAGCUACAGGCUUAACACAUGCAAGUCGCGGGGGCAGCAUGAAGUCAGCUUGCUGACUUUGAUGGCGACCGGCGCACGGGUGAGUAACGCGUAUCCAACCUGCCUGUUACCACGGCACAGCCCGUCGAAAGGCGGAUUAAUGCCGUAUGUGGUCCUUUGCGGGCAUCUAAUUAGGACUAAAGGUUCGGCGGUAACGGAUGGGGAUGCGUCCGA